CUCGGGCUCCCGUAUCCCAAGAUGCUUUGCGUGCUGCUGCUCAGUCGAAAAAAGUGAACUGAAAUGGCGACGGCGGCAUCUAAAUCCAGAUUUAAUAU